rnacentral:rRNA from 1 species
GACGUAGGGGACGAGCGUUGUCCGGAUUCAUUGGGCGUAAAGCGCGCGUAGGCGGCUACGCAAGUCGGGUGUGAAAUCCCGGAGCUCAACUCCGGAACUGCACUCGAAACUGCGCGGCUUGAGGUAGGUAGGGGAGAUCGGAAUUCCUGGUGUAGCGGUGGAAUGCGCAGAUAUCAGGAGGAACACCGGUGGCGAAGGCGGAUCUCUGGGCCUUACCUGACGCUGAGACGCGAAAGCUAGGGGAGCGAACAGG